rnacentral:lncRNA from 1 species
GUUCGGUUACCCAAGUGUGAUGCACGGUACAUUCGAACAAGCUCAGAUAUUGUAUGCCGGCCGUGCACCACACAUGAAAAACAUAAGUCUUCGAGGCUAUGGCCCCGAAGAGAUCGCGAAGUACACAUUCGAAGAAAUCGCUGGAGACCUGGCUGAGUGCAGCAGAUCCCAGUCUCACGUAAUACUGGUACUUCACACCAAAGGGAAUAAUAAUACUGGUACUUCACAUCAAAAAGAACAACAAGCUGAGCGCCGGCGCCACUCCCAUUUAUAUCAAAAGAGGAC